rnacentral:antisense_RNA from 1 species
UAUAUCUGACUGAAGGAAUGAACUGGGAGAGAACAGCAGAGCCGCAGCGGAAUGUGGAAAGGCCCACGUCGAGACUGUUCCCAUUCUGAUUUAAAAGCCUGAUGAAGGAACAGCUGAACUCACAGAAACAGCAGGUGAAAAGCCUUUCUACUCUGUGUUCUCCAAUUCAUCCUAAAAUCAAGAUCAAGGUAGAAUUCUCGAACUUGGCCUAUUCUGAAAAAAACGGACAUGGCUGGGACAGAGAGCUUGUGUGAAUGUUCCCAAUUGUGAACAUGGAAGCUAUGAAUUGAGAUGGCAGAACCACAAGAUGGAAGUACGUUGGAUUUCUGAGUCACCACCUGGAGGAGAGCUUCCCUGCAGCAUCGCUGGAAUCUGAUAUGAACUAGAUAUUAAUCUUGAUCAUGUUGACUUGAACCUAAUUCAGGCCUAAGACAUAAUAUAUACUGCAUAAUAUAUGCUGUAUAAUGAUAAUAUAUUUAUGCAGUCUUUAUUGAUAGGAGUAGUGGUUUAUCUCAGUUUUAUAAUAAAAAUCUCUCAAAGAACACUGACUCCAAGGAAUAACAAUCACAAAAGGAUUACAGCUUUGUUUAACACUUUCUGCAAAUCCUUGAAGCUGAUCUUUCCUGUUGUUUCUAAUCCCAAUAGCCAGCCUAAACCUUUUGGUGUAAUCUCAUGUAUUCUGACCUCUGUUAUUUCCUGCUGCUUAAUGAUCUUUCUAUAAAUUGUAUGGGAAAUGAAGCAAAUGUAAUUACAGUGUCUGCCAGCCCUGAUGCAGAUAAAUAGAUGGGAGUCUGGCCAAGUGUCUCCCCAAGCUAGCCUUUGGUGUCUUUCACUCACAGCAGAAAGAAAUAGGUCAUAAAUUACAGCACUGAUUUGUUCCAAUGAUAUCAUUAGCUCCUGGAAAACAAGGAUCAUGAAAAACCCAUUUCAAAUGAACAUAUGAGUCAAUACCAACCAAGCAUCUUUUGGAAAAGAGCCCUUAUAAAUUCAUACUAGAAUUCUGACUCCUAAGUGAAUAUCUGUGCAUCUUCAGAACAUAGAAGACUUAGCUCCAGCCCAUGCAUCAGUCCCUUCAGACCAUAAAGUCAUAACCGGGCCUAUUGAAAGAGCUGGUUACAUGAGACAGAGAUUUACCUAGGUGAGAAAAUAAAGAUUAGAUGGUUUGAAGCAGAGUUCUAGCCCUUCCAAAUCAGACCUCCAACCCCUUUCUUAAUUCUAUAGUUUGUAGUUUUCAAAGAAGUUGUAAUAAAGAGUAAGUAAACUAACUUCUUUUUUUCUUAUGGUUUUUGUUUGAUAAUAUGAGAAUAAAAGCAAUGCCCUUUUUUGACCUAUCCCAGGAUAAAAUGCAGGUGGAGAAAAGGUUUUCCGUAUUGUCUUUAGCCUUGACACAACAAAAUAGGAAAAGGAAUUUUCCAAUCUGGGUUGAGUAGAUGCAAAGAAGUGUUGUAAGGUACAUUUGUAGAGCACACUCAGCACUUGGGGACUGAGGUGCCUCAAGAGAAGCUAGAGACCUAAUGUAGGGAUAUAGAGGCCAGGAGGACACACUGGAACACAGAAGAUGACAGCUUUUGAAAGAGCUCAAGAUUUUAAUUUCUUGAACCAGAAGACAGAUUCUCCUCUAUGUCUGUUCACACUUUCAGACUUUAAUCUGCAUUAGCCCUCUGUUCCGCACACCUGCUUCUGGACCGCUGGGUGGUUACACACUCUGACUUCAUCAACCCUUAUCCUUAUUGUAGGGAUAUGAAAUUUAAAAUUGGCAUCUUCCACAGCCAAUUCUGGUCACUAUUCUUGUUACUUUAACUGAUAUACAAUAAAGAAUAUGCCUGACUUUGUCCCUGGUUCCUGGGAAGUAGCAUCAAAACCUUUAGAAUUUCUUAAGUGGUAGGAGUGUCUAUUAUUCAUGGUGAACUCCUGGGAUCAAACUUGAUAGUCUGUGCUAAAGAGAUGACUCAGGACGGGAGCUGGCUGCUCCUGCCAGAAAGACCAACCAUGUGAUUAGAGGGUGGGGCUUUGAGCCAGGUGAUAUCAGCUCAGUCUCCAGGGAGCCAAGGGGAGCUAGAGAUUGAAUUCAACUGCAAGGCCAAAGAUUCCAUCAGUCAUGAUUGUGUAAUGAUACCUCAAUAAAAACUCUGGGCACCAAAGCUCAGUUGAGCUUCACAGGUUGUUAAUAUUCUGAUAAUGUCACACAUUGAUAUGCCAGGAAGGUAAUGCAUCCUUACUCUUUGGGGAUAGAACAACAGAAGCUUUGUGUUGAACUCCCCUAGACCUCAUUAUAUGUGUAUCUCUUUCCCUUUAGCUGGUUCUGAUGUGUAUCCUUUUGCUGUAAUAAGACUACAACUGUAAUUUAUAGGACUUUCUUGAGUUCCAUGAGUCAUUUUAGUGAAUUAUUAAUCCUGAGGGGGUUAUGGGAACCACCAAACUUGUAGCAAGCUGGUCAGGAGUAAGAGUGGCCUGUGAGCCUUUGAACUUGUGACUGAUGUCUUUAGUUUGUGUAGUCUUGUGGAAAACUGUGUCCCUAACCUGUAAAGUAACUGGUGUCAAAAGUCAGUGAAACUAGGCAUAAUUAGAACUCAUGGACAUUCACACCCAUUCCACUUCAGUCACAUGCUUCCAAGGCCUCACAGAGUUCCUUUUACACAUCUAUCUUCUCUACUUUGGUUCUUAUUCCCUAUGAUGGCAAAAAGAAAUACAACUGGACUCUAAGAUGAUGGUGACUCAUG